GAUUGGUAAUGGGCGCAGCCUGANCCAGCCGUGCCGCGUGCAGGAUGACGGUCCUAUGGAUUGUAAACUGCUUUUGUACGAGAAGAAACACUCCUACGUGUAGGAGCUUGACGGUAUCGUAAGAAUAAGGAUCGGCUAACUCCGUGCCAGCAGCCGCGGUAAUACGGAGGAUCCAAGCGUUAUCCGGAAUCAUUGGGUUUAAAGGGUCCGUAGGCGGUUUUGUAAGUCAGUGGUGAAAGCCCAUCGCUCAACGGUGGAACGGCCAUUGAUACUGCAAGACUUGAAUUACUAGGAAGUAACUAGAAUAUGUAGUGUAGCGGUGAAAUGCUUAGAUAUUACAUGGAAUACCAAUUGCGAAGGCAGGUUACUACUAGUGGAUUGACGCUGAUGGACGAAAGCGUGGGGAGCGAACAGGAUUAGAUACCCUGGUAGUCCACGCCGUAAACGAUGGAUACUAGCUGUUCGGAGCAAUCUGAGUGGCUAAGCGAAAGUGAUAAGUAUCCCACCUGGGGAGUACGUUCGCAAGAAUGAAACUCAAAAGAAUUGACGGA
rnacentral:rRNA from 1 species